CUGUUUUUAUAUAGCUUAAAUAAAAAAAAUCGGAAUGGACUGGAAUACUUUAAUUUUCAUACUAAGGUCGUAUCUAUGUUUAUGGUUGGCGGAGGGAUAUACUCUACGACUGGGAUUCCAGGAAAAUGGUGGCGGUAAAGUUAGGACAGAAACACGUGGAUGGCGAGGAGAAGCCGGGUGUCUUACUGCGUGUCUGUGGCUCUGACUGACUGUCUGUGUGUCUGAAUUUCCUCAUAGAGUCGACCGAAACCAACGUAUUAACAACAUAACGUACAACGCACAGCAUUCAAAAGUAGUUAGAAACAUAUUUAAACGAACAAUUUUUUAUUAUUACCGAAUUUAGAGCUAUUUGUUCAGAUGUCUGUAAUCAGCAUAUAUCAUUAAUGUCGGAUUAAAAAAAACUAAAUACUUAUAAUAAUUCACAGUUAACGCAUAUUUUCCAACCAGGGGAAAUGUUUUAUUUGAUAAUAAAUUGAAUAUGUGUAAUAAAUAAAAGUUUUUUGGUUUCUUUUAAUGUGAGUCUUGUGUAGGUGAAAGUAAAGACAGUCAGUGCAGAGGAAUGUGCUCUUACACUGGACUGAAGCAUUUUGACAGAGAGAGUGAGACAGUGAACCUCUCACAGCCACGCUGCCCUCAUGUUCCAAGUAUUGCAGGAGUUUCACUAUCAGACUACAGCUUCUUUCAACACGUGACUACUACUACUGCUGCUACUGCUACUGUUUCUCUCACUACGGUUACUACUAGUACCAAUAUUUCUCUUACCAAUGUGUUUAGACACGACCUGUCCUACAUUUAAAGACUGAGUUGAGUUUUGACUAAUUUCAACAUUCUUUGUUAUUUGUUAUUCAAGUUUUUGAAAACGUCCUUUGCAGAGGAGGAAUGUGCAUGUGUCUUAUAAAAGCAAUCGUACUCCCCCCACCCCCCAUUGAUGACGUUAAAAAACCUCAAAGCUGUCAGUUAAGCCAUUGUUAAAUUGAGAUGUGACGAAACCAAAACACUGAUUGAAUAAAGUACAAGAAUGUAUAUAUAUUUAUAUAUAUGUAUAGUGUACGUGGAGUCAGUCAAGUCAAAAAUAUAUAUUGUGCAUGUGAUUAUAUUUCACUUUGAUACUGUAAUAAUUAAAACUAAUGAAUGAAA